rnacentral:rRNA from 1 species
UACAGAGGGUGCAAGCGUUAAUCGGAAUUACUGGGCGUAAAGCGCGCGUAGGUGGUUCGUUAAGUUGGAUGUGAAAUCCCCGGGCUCAACCUGGGAACUGCAUUCAAACUGUCGAGCUAGAGUAUGGUAGAGGGUGGUGGAAUUCCUGUGUAGCGGUGAAAUGCGUAGAUAUAGGAAGGAACACCUGUGGCGAAAGCGGCUCACUGGGACCGAAUAACUGACGCUGAGGCACGAAAGCGUGGGGAGCAAACAGGG